rnacentral:tRNA from 1 species
GUUGUGAUGGCUGAGUGGUAAAGUGCUUGGCUUCUGAACAAAGGGAGUCCUGGGUUCAAAUCUCAGCGAAGACU